rnacentral:misc_RNA from 1 species
AACGCAUAUUGCGCCCGAGUCUUCGGACAAGGGCAUGUCUGCCUCAGCGUCGGUUUAUCCCCUCACCCCAACCCCCUCUGUGGGGUGUGCCCCCUCCCGAAAGGGAGAGCCAAGGGGUGGAUCUGGCCUCCCCAGACCAUUCACAAUGGGCUGGGUUGGCUGAAGUACAGAGGCUAGAGCUCGGACCCAUAUGGGCUUCAACUGGAUAGGUAGACCGGCUUAGGCCGACUACACGAAGUUGUGGCUUGUGGUCCUUGCUGGCGGCCAGCAGGAAAACCUUAAACAUUCGACCUGAGCUCAGGCAAGGCUACCCGCUGAACUUAA